rnacentral:lncRNA from 1 species
AGCCCAAGUGAAGAGACCACACGAAGAAGUCACACACAGGUGUCUUUCUGAUGGCCCAGCUGCGGUAGCAGCUGCCAGACACGCAAGUGAAGACUCUCCGACCGAGGCCAGCACCCCAGCCACCAAGUCGCCCUCAGCCUUCAGGCUGUCCCAGCCGAGGCCCCAGACACUGUGGAGCAGAGACAAGCUGUCCUGCUGUGCCCUGUCUGCAUUCCUGACCACAGGAUCUGAGAGAUAUCAUUCCAGGACGCCACGGGCAAGUUGGAGCAAAGUCCUGGCAAACCUGAAGACACAUCCCGUGGAGCCCCAAGGAGCCGAGGGUCACAGGAGGGGCCCUGCCUCCAAGGCCGUGGCAGACAGAACUGGCACCAUCUCCACACAGCGUCACCGAGUGAUGUCCAGUCGUCUCAGGCCGGGGAUUGUAACUGCCCCGCUCUGAUCUAGGCCACAGAAGUGAACAAAUCAGUUUGGAUUCCCACCCUCUAGAACUUUCUUCAGUUGAGGAGGGAAGAGAGAGGAUAAAUAGGCAAAAACUGGCCAGGGUGCAGGGGACUACAAUGGAGAAUGGCCAGGCUGUGGGGGCAGAGCAGGGGCACUGCUCACCCUGGAGGGGGAAGGCCUCCCCAGUCAUGCCUCGUCCCAGCUUAAAAUGCUUUGGGGCCUGCCAUGGUUUCUCAGGGCUCCUGGGACCAUGGCCUCUGCGUGAUCUUCCCUGCCCACCUCUACCAGCAGGGUCAGUGGUGCCAGCUUGGCAACACUUGGUGCCCAUGUCUACCUGGGGUCCCUGCAUGGCUGCUCCCUCUGCUGGCAGCGCCCUCACCUCCCACCUCCCACUCAGCUCUCAGCUCUCAGCUGAGAUGUCACCUUCUCGUCCAGGAAGCCUUCCUUGAUGUCCCUGGAUGGUCUUGGGGCUAUCACAUGCUCCUGUACAUUCCUCAUCCCUGCUUCAGUCACUCUGGGGUUACUUGUUUGCGGGUGGCCCAAGGUAGCCCAGCAUGGCCAGAACCCAGCCCUGUGGAUGACCCUGCUGGAUUCAAAUGCUAGCUCCGCCUCUUAGCUGUGCAACCUUGGGCCUCAGUUUUGCCAUCUGGAAAAAGGGCAUAGUGAUGGCAUCUACCUCACAGGGUGGUUGUGAGGAAGAAGCAGUUUAAUACAAGUACUUAGAAAGACAUCUGGCACCAACUUUGCACUCAGUAAAUGUUGGCUGUGCCAUUACACUUGUUCUCUCUCCCACAGAACACAGCAGGUGCUCACUUCACAUUUGCAUGCUAAAUCAGUGCAGCCCUUCAAAUAUGCUCAUGAAAAUGAGCAAUGGGGGGGAAGGCUUAGUUAAUUCAGAUGCUCCUCGACUUGGGAUGGGGCUGCAGCCUGAUAAACCCACUGCAAGUUGAAAAUAUCAUUAAGUCAAAAGUGCAUUUAGUGCACCCAACCUACGGAACAUCAUCAUAGCUUCGCCUCGCCUCCCUUAAAGGUGCUCGAAACGUUUACACUCACCUACGUUGGGCAAAAUCAUCUAACACAAAGCCUAUUUUAUAAUAAAGUGUUGAGUAUUUCAUGUAAAAUUAUUGUACUCUGUAUUGCUAAACUGAUAAAAGAUUAAAGUUCAAAAUUCCAAGUAUGAUUUCUAUCAAAUGCCUAUCUCUUUCGUACCAUAAUAAACACGAAAAGUCCUAAAAUGAACCAUUGUUAGUCGAGGAUCAUCUGCAA